UACGGAGGUUGCAAGCGUUGUUCGGAAUGACUGGGCGUAAAGGGAGCGCAGGCGGCCGUUUAAGUCUGGAGUGAAAGCCCGGGGCUCAACCCCGGCGGGUCUUCGGAUACUGGACGGCUAGAGUACGGAAGAGGAGAGCGGAAUUCCAGGUGUAGCGGUGAAAUGCGUAGAUAUCUGGAGGAACACCGGUGGCGAAAGCGGCUCUCUGGUCCGAUACUGACGCUCAGGCUCGAAAGCGUGGGGAGCAAACGGG
rnacentral:rRNA from 1 species